GGGGUUAGGGGAGCCAGCGCCCUGAGCGAAAGAAUCAAAGCAAGGAGCAUGGCCAAAGACUCUCAGAAGAGAUGAUUUACUGUAUAAGAAGAGAUGAUUGUACUGUAUAAGAAGUGUCUGGGAAAUGCAGUGUCUCGCCUGACACCGUCUUACACUGGCACCACCACCACCAAGAGUUUUAAUUGAUUUCAACGGAUGGACUUAGAAGGCAGUUUGUAAUUGAGAACAACUUACAUCUGCUGGAAUAUGUAGCUCUUCUUCCGUGUAUUUAUGAAGUACCUUGAUCAAAUCUUUUGGAAAAUAUCCAAAACUGUGUUCAACCUAUGUGAAAAAAUGGUCAAAAGGGACAACUGUCAAUCAAGUUCUGUAUGAGAGAUACAAAGGACAGACUAUUAGCACUGAUGGGAAAUGUUUAGAGAGACAAGGUGUAAACAAGAGGAAAAGACAUUCGCUGUUAAUAAUUAAGCUUCAAUGACUGUGCCAAUGAAAAUUAAUAUUGUUAAACCAACAGUUCUCUGAGCCACAGACACGGUCUUUUGUAUACCGCUAACAUAUAACGCUAAGAAGUAAUCAGAGAUCUGGACAAGAGAAACUUCCUGCACACUGUGUGGUUAAGACCUGACAAACCAAAGCCACUAGAAACACAGUUCCAAGUGCUCUGUGCCAAGAAUCUACGUGAGCACUUGAUUGCAUUGCUCCUCAACCACAUCUAACAAGUUUCCCUUAUCAAUUCACAACAGCCAUGGAAAUCAGUAGAAGCAAACAAGACUUCUCAAAUGUGUGCGGUUUCAGCAAACAAAACUUAAUGAUAUCAUGUGCUAUGGUAGCUUUUUCCCAAACCAGCAUUCAGAAGUAUUUGGGGACAGUAAAUAAAAUUAUGACAUAAUGCAUACUUACCUACUUUUCAGGCUUCAGCUCCAUGUAAAAUAAAUCUACAGAAAUAACCCCA
rnacentral:lncRNA from 1 species